UACGUAGGGUCCGAGCGUUGUCCGGAAUUAUUGGGCGUAAAGGGCUCGUAGGCGGUUCGUCACGUCGGGAGUGAAAACUCGGAGCUUAACUCCGAGCCUGCUUCCGAUACGGGCAGACUAGAGGUAGGCAGGGGAGAGCGGAACUCCUGGUGUAGCGGUGGAAUGCGCAGAUAUCGGGAAGAACACCCGUGGCGAAGGCGGCUCUCUGGGACGGUACUGACGCUGAGACGCGAAAGCGUGGGGAGCGAACAGG
rnacentral:rRNA from 1 species